CUUUUUCCUUACAGACUGCUGAGGACGUACUUGGGAGCAGUCCUGGGGCGGUUGUGGAUCCAGUUGAAGGUCUUGUAGGGCGUUUCUGGUGGAAAUGAUCUUUGG